UUUUUCUUAUCAGAAAUCUUACAUCCAUAGAAAGUCAACACAACAUCACCUUCAACAGCUAUCAACAUUCUACCAUUCUUGUUUCAUCUACAUUUUCACCCAUUUAUCACCUUCACAAUUGAACUUUAUAAUCUUAAUUCUGUACCAACAGGAUGAAUGUUGACUGAUUAUCAGUCAUUUACACAGCAGUGGGAAUAAACAUUCCUGGUGAUGUUAAAUUAUCUCUGCCACACUCAGUGAAGGGACUAGAGAUUGAGAGAUAGUAAUGUUCAGACUGCCUUGUUACACAGGCAGCACAGUAUUUUCACAAAUGAAGCAGGGCUGUCUCAGCAAAAAUAAUAUUAUGAAGAGAUUACAAUAAAGGCCAAUACGAAAGCACAUGUCAUGUUUACUUAUACAUAAUGAUUAUUUAUUUUUAAUUUACAUAGUUGGAUUAGACCUAUAGUGCUGCAGAUCAAUACAAUAACCACAACAUCUGCAAAGGCCAAUUUUCUUAAUAGAAGGGCAUAUUUUGCUGAUAGGCAAACCAAUUUUGUUGGCAGCAGCAAUACCCAAUGUUUAUUUUUAAUGCAUCUUCAUUUUUAUAUCUUCAUUUAUAAUUGGCUAUUUUCAUCUUAAAUAAUUUUAGUAUUGAAUAUUUGAGGACUCGAUUUGACAUAAUGCUUUUAUAAACAUAAAGUGUAUAUUUAAUAAUAAGUAUUUGCCUAACAAGUAUAGUCUAUUGCCCUGGAAGAUCUGUUCUUAAAGAUCUGAUACCUAUCAUUUGUAUUUUGGCUGUAGAAAUGUACAAUGAGUAUAAUUUCAUGAUCUAUUGUCUUGUAGUUGUUUGUAUCAUGCAGAAAAUCAGAAUUCUAGAUAUAAUCACCUUUCCUUAAAAAAGAUUAAUCAUCCCAUUGAAAUAUCCAUAGCUACAUCACAUCACACACACACACACACACACACACACACACACACACACACACACACACCCAAGCACUUACUAAACCUCUCUUAUGAUACAUUUAAACUUAACAAACUUAGAAGCAUUUUGAUAUAGUCAUUAAUUUUUAUUCAUGAGGAAACUAAGACUAAGAAAAGCAUACGACUUAUUCAUGAUCACACACUUAUUAAAUGUUGGAAUUAGGAUACCAACACAAGUCUUUCUAAAGUCAGACCUCUUGUUGCACUGCCUCCCUUUAUUUGUUUUAUCCUUCCUUCUUGGACAGUUAAUUAUCGUACACGUUAACUUCUGACAUAUACCCUCUACUUCUGCCCUACCAUCCAUUUCCAUUUUAAUGUUCUACUUCAGGUCAACAUCAUCUUUACCUGAACUAUAUGCAGAGCAUUCUAAAUGAUCCCCCUGGUCCCUAUUUCUUUCCCUCCAGAUUAUUCUAAAUAUCUCCAAUUCCUAAAGCACAGCUCUGAAGAUGCCAUCCUCCUCUUCAAAAAAUGGCUGUUUACUCGUUGCCUUUUUAAUCACCAGAGUCAGGGGUGAAUGUUAGAAUUAAAGAGCCCACCAAACCUCUUAGUUAAGAAAUGAAUAUUUUAAUUAACACAUCCAUAAAACAUCGCUAUACUAUGACACUAACCCUUUGAAAAUAAGUUCUACAAUUUUAUUUUUCACUUGCCAGACAAACUAUCUACACUUUUGGUCAUUUAGUUCCUCCCCCUCCUGAACCUCCACUCAGCAAAACUCAAAAGAGACUUACAGACAUCUGGUAUUACCCACCCAGCUAAAUGAAUCAUUCUUUCACAUGUUCUUUUCUCUUUCUCCAUUCUUAGUUUAGAAACGUCCUGGGAGAAAGGAUACCAUUGCAUUUCAGAUAUUUAAUGUUCCUAUCUUCAAAGACAGGCAAUGAGGAGUACGGCUCUUGGCCAAAAAUGUACAUGGGACCUUUCAAGCUUGCAUUGCCUAGGUGAUUACUAAGACAUUACUUGGCAGCAUCAUUAGAGAGAGCUCCCUUCUCCACACCAGACUUGGUGCAUAGCCAAUGCACUGUUUUAUUUAGGGGAGUUGUAGUCAAGGACUUAGGCAUCUCUGGCUGGUAAUGCUCUUUUGCAUAGUUGCAUUUCUAGCCUAGGUGACUUCUAUAAAUACAGAACUCUAUGUUACAGCAUUUUUUGAGCCUUACCCCUCACCAUAAAACCAAAAUCUUCUCUUUUCUUUCUGUAGCAUUUAUACACUCUGAUAUUUUAGUACUACCCUCACAAACACUAAUGCAAUAUAGGUUAUGUCAUCACCUCCUAGAAUUGUAUGCACACACACACACACAUUACAUAGAGCAAAAAUCAUAAUUUAAGUGUCUGAAACUGAUGGGCUAGGGGAUAUUUCAUCAGAUCAUGCUACGCCUUAAAAACCAUGGCAUUUAUUUUGUUCUAGAAAAAAAAUUAAACUUAUCAAAUAAUUUUUCAAGGUGAUUCUGUAACAAAAUCAUUAGUAGCCACAAUUUUAUUACCAUAGUUUUUCUACAGAUUUAAAUCUCUGAAUAUAUCACCUAUAAUGGGCAGUAUAUCAAUUUACUAAAGGAAAGAACCAGUGCUCAGUGACACAUGUAAUUAAUAAGACUACACCAUGACACUGAACCUAGAGAUUCCUAAAAGAUAGUAUUUAUUAAGGCAACCCACCAAUCCACUGAGCCAUUUCUACCAGUGACACGGGUGGUAUGUCAAAAUUUAAACCCCCUUAUCCUUACUGGCAAUAAAAUAGAAGCGAGAAUUAUUAGAUGAGUGCCCUCUUUGCCUUCCUUGCAGCUGUUAAUGCUCCGCUUUGUUGCCUGUUAAAAGCCAGAAGCAUGUUUGCAAAUGAUCAGUUUAAGAGAUCUAAUGACCAUUGUGUCAGUCUCCUCAGAUUUAUUCCCAUUCAGCAUGAGAAUAAAUGAUAGCCUGAAGAUUGACAUGGGAAGACAAACUGUAUAUGUGUAAAGAACAGAAACAGAAUGGAAAAAAAGCUCUGUGUUGAAGGUGAGAUGAACAAUACCAUGUCCAUUCUCCUUACAGCACAUAUCUUACCUGACAAGUUCAGCCCCCAUGAAAAUCUGACAUCUAGAAUGUCUUGUCCUACAUUUACUCCCAAGCUUGUAACCAUCCUGUAUCUAGGAAAAACAUUCACCCAUUAUUCUUUAUGAGCACUUGAUACUCCUUACAUAAGAUAUUUUACCUGCUUCAUUCUCAAGCACUGUUUUCUUUCAACACUAAGCACUUCAAGGAAGUUGUCUGCAUUUGAAAAAAGCAAUGUGUGAUUCUUGACAGAUCAUCCAACUAUUCCUUUGCUCUCUCCUUAAAGGAGGGAUAUUCCUACAGUAUAUUUAUGAAAAGCAGGGAUAGAGGAGGAAAGAACCAGAUUAAUUCAAUGUUAAACAUCUAGAUACACAUAGCACCACUCAUUAUGCUUUCAUUACUUGGAAAUCACUUGCUAUGUUCAUUAAGUUAUUUUUUGGAACACUUUCUGCUUGCUAGAUGUUAUUUUUUUUUCACCACUAUAGAGUAGUGAAUAAACGAGACAUAUUUCUGCUCUUAUGGACCUUGUGGUAGAGAAUCAGAUCAUUUUAAAAGUAACUAAUUUGUUAUUUAUAACUUGAGCAAGUUAUCUGAAGAAGUCAAAACAUCAACAAGAUUAUAUAAUAAAUUCCCAUUCUAGAAUUUGGAGUCAAAGGGUCUUCUGGGAGAAAGUGAAAUUUAAGUAGUACAUGAGAUGUACAUUAGCUGGAGAAGAAUGAUCCAGGCAGAGAAAACAACAUGAAUUAAGACCUACAGUGGGAAGAAGCUUGAAAGAAUUGAGAAACAAGUAAUAUUACUGUGAACAGAUCAUAGAAAAGGAAGUCAGGGCAGAUGGGGGGACUGUGAAGAAAUGUUAAAGAUUUUUACUUUUAGAAGAAAAGCCACUAUGGACUACUGAGAGUCAUUAAAUAAAUAAUCUGCAUAAACAAAACAAAAAGGCAACCCACAGAAUGAGAGAAAAUAUUUGCAAACUUAGCAGCUGACAAGGGAUUAAUCUCCAAAAUACACAAACAACUCAUGCAGCUCAAUAUCAAAACAAACAACCAACCCAGUCAAAAAAUGGGCAUAUCUAAAUAGGCAUUUCUCCAAAGAAGACAUACAGAUGGCCAACUGGCACAUGAAAAGAUGUUCAACAUCACUUAUUAGAGAAAUGGAAAUCAAAACUACAAUGAGGUAUCAUCUCAUACCAUUCAUUGUGGCCAUCAUCAAAAAAUUUACAAACAAUAAAUGCUGGAGAGGGUGUGGAAAAAAGAGAACCCUCCUUCACUGAUGAUACAAUAUUACUCAGCCAUAAAAAACAAUGAAAUAAUGUCAUUUGCAGCAACUUUGGAUUUAGAGAUCAUCAUACCACAUGAAGUAUGUCAGACAGAAAAAGACAAGUAUAUGAGAUCCCUUAUAUGUGGAAUAUAACAAAAAUGAUACAAAUGAAUUUAUCUACAAAACAGAAACAGACUCAACAGACCUUGAAAACAAACUUAUGGUUACCACAGGGGAAAGGUGAGGGGAAGGGAUAGAUUGGGAGUUUGGGACUGGAAUAUGCACACUAUUGUAUAUGGAAUGGAUAAUCAACAGGGACCUACUGUAUAGCACAGAGAACAUUAUCCAAUAUUCUAUGAUAAGCAAUGUAGGAAAAGAAUCUGAAAAAGAAUGUAUAUGUUAAUAUGUAUAACUGAAUCACUUUACAGCAGACAUUAAAACAACACUGUAAAUCCACUAUACUUCAGUAAUUGAAAAAAAAAAGAAAGUAAAAAGGAUAUACACUCUGGCAAGUGGAAACAUGGUAUGAGGCUAUCAAAAUCAAUUUAGAAGGGAUGACAGCGGCUUAGUAUGAGGUUAUAGUUAGUGGUGGCAACAGAUAGAAAUGAACACAUUCAUAACAUAUUUAGAACUAAAUUUUAUGAGAUAUGAUCACUCAUUAGAUAUGGGGAUGAAAAAGAAGAUAUCAAAGGCAACUUCAAGAUUUCUUAGCUUGAGUGACCACUGCCAUUAAAAACCCCUUGUUUUUAUCUUUGUGGAAAAAAAAUAUGAGAUUGUCAAAUAAGAUUCACAAGAAGCAAAGGUCUUGCUCGCUAUCAAGUGUUACUGUAAUUAAAGGAUAAAGUCACCAUUUACAGGAGGAAGGAGAUUUCCUAACAAUAUACAGCUCCUCCCUUUGCAUGAGGAUGUUCACUAACCCGCUGAAUGUAAGCACCCUCUAAUAAAGGUAUGUUUUUAAGAAAGUAAGCAAUGUCUGAUAAAUUCAUAUAUUCCAGAUUUAUAUACCACAAGCAACCCUAGACAGAUCAGGUAAAUCAUGUUGAAGGACAAUCAGCAGUAAAUACCAUUCGUAUUUCAUCAGAUCUAUUACUCCCAUGUUUGCAAGAUUUGACCAGGUUACAUUUCUUUCCUGGGCCUCCCACAGAAAUAAGACUGAAUGGAUUACAUUCCUUUUGUUAUCCCUUUCUGUCUCACUGUGCAUGGAAAUUCAAAGUAUCUAUUUUACUUCAUUGGGGAUAUAUACUGGAAAAUAAAAAGGGUUUCUUUAAAAUUUCUAGGGUAUCUUGUAAUUAUUAAGAAUUAGAAAUAAUCUUAAUUCUUGCAAUAACCCUAAAAAGUAGGUAGUAUUUUGUGUGUGUGUGUGUGUCUGUGUGUGUGUGUGUGUCUGUGUGUGUUGUGUGUGUAUUUGGCUUUUUAGGGCCAAAUGUGUGGCAUAUGGAAAUUUCUAGGCUAGGGGUCAAAUCAGAGCUGCAGCUGCUGGUCUACAUCACAGCUACAGCAAUGUGGCAUCCCAGCCACAGCUGCGACAUACGCCACAGCUUGGGGCAAGAUCCUUAACCCACUGAGCGAGGACAGGGAUCAAACCCGCGUCUUCACAGAUACUAGUGAAGUUCGUUACUGCAGAGCAUCAACAAGAA
rnacentral:lncRNA from 1 species